GACGAACGCUGGCGGCGUGCUUAACACAUGCAAGUCGAGCGGUAAGGCCCUUUCGGGGGUACACGAGCGGCGAACGGGUGAGUAACACGUGGGUGACCUGCCCUCAGCUCUGGGAGAAGCCUGGGAAACCGGGUCUAAUACCGGAUAUGACUCCAUGACGCAUGUUGUGGGGUGGAAAGCCUUGUGCGGCUGAGGAUGGGCCCGCGGCCUAUCAGCUUGUUGGUGGGGUGAUGGCCUACCAAGGCGACGACGGGUAGCCGGCCUGAGAGGGCGACCGGCCACACUGGGACUGAGACACGGCCCAGACUCCUACGGGAGGCAGCAGUGGGGAAUCUUGCGCAAUGGGCGAAAGCCUGACGCAGCGACGCCGCGUGAGGGAUGACGGCCUGUGUAAC
rnacentral:rRNA from 1 species